rnacentral:rRNA from 1 species
UGUUAGCGGCGGACGGGUGAUAACACGUGGGUAACCUGCCUGUAAGACUGGGAUAACUCCGGGAAACCGGGGCUAAUACCGGAUGCUUGUUUGAACCGCAUGGUUCAAACAUAAAAGGUGGCUUCGGCUACCACUUACAGAUGGACCCGCGGCGCAUUAGCUAGUUGGUGAGGUAAUGGCUCACCAAGGCAACGAUGCGUAGCCGACCUGAGAGGGUGAUCGGCCACACUGGGACUGAGACACGGCCCAGACUCCUACGGGAGGCAGCAGUAGGGAAUCUUCCGCAAUGGACGAAAGUCUGACGGAGCAACGCCGCGUGAGUGAUGAAGGUUUUCGGAUCGUAAAGCUCUGUUGUUAG